UACAGAGGGUGCGAGCGUUAAUCGGAAUUACUGGGCGUAAAGCGUGCGUAGACGGUUAUUUAAGUCAGGUGUGAAAGCCCCGGGCUCAAUCCGGGAAUUGCAUUUGAGACUGAAUAGCUAGGGUGCGGAAGAGGGAAGCGGAAUUUCCGGUGUAGCGGUGAAAUGCGUAGAUAUCGGAAGGAACACCAGUGGCGAAAGCGGCUUCCUGGUCCAGCACCGACGUUCAGGCACGAAAGCGUGGGGAGCAAACAGG
rnacentral:rRNA from 1 species